AACCUUAUGGACCUGCGGGCGUAUACCUGCGGAGGGAUCAUUACCAGUACCACCGUCGCCUCCGGGCGUCGGUCUACUACCAACCCUUUGUCAUCCGACCUCGUUGCCUCCGGGUGCGACCCUGACCUUCGGGUCUCGCGUCUCCCCGGGUGGACACACAUCAAAACUCUGCAUAACUUUGUAGUCUGAGUAAAACUUUUAAUUAAAUUAAAACUUUCAACAACGGAUCUCAGAUCGGAA
rnacentral:misc_RNA from 1 species